rnacentral:rRNA from 1 species
ACAUGCAAGUCGAGCGGUAGAGAGAAGCUUGCUUCUCUUGAGAGCGGCGGACGGGUGAGUAAUGCCUAGGAAUCUGCCUGGUAGUGGGGGAUAACGUUCGGAAACGGACGCUAAUACCGCAUACGUCCUACGGGAGAAAGCAGGGGACCUUCGGGCCUUGCGCUAUCAGAUGAGCCUAGGUCGGAUUAGCUAGUUGGUGAGGUAAUGGCUCACCAAGGCGACGAUCCGUAACUGGUCUGAGAGGAUGAUCAGUCACACUGGAACUGAGACACGGUCCAGACUCCUACGGGAGGCAGCAGUGGGGAAUAUUGGACAAUGGGCGAAAGCCUGAUCCAGCCAUGCCGCGUGUGUGAAGAAGGUCUUCGGAUUGUAAAGCACUUUAAGUUGGGAGGAAGGGCAGUUACCUAAUACGUGAUUGUUUUGACGUUACCGACAGAAUAAGCACCGGCUAACUCUGUG